rnacentral:rRNA from 1 species
GAGUUUGAUCGUGGCUCAGAAUGAACGCUGGCGGCGUGCUUUACACAUGCAAGUCGAGCGAGGCGGGUAGCAAUACCCAGUCGAGCGGCGAACGGGGUGAGUAACGCGUGGAUGACCUGCCCUUAGGUGGGGGAUAACCCGGGGAAACUCGGGCUAAUACCGCAUAACAUCGUGAGAUCAAAGGGGGCGCAAGCUCUCGCCAGAGGAGGGGUCCGCGUCCGAUUAGCUAGUUGGUAGGGUAAUGGCCUACCAAGGCGACGAUCGGUAGCCGGCCUGAGAGGGUGAUCGGCCACACUGGAACUGAGACACGGUCCAGACUCCUACGGGAGGCAGCAGUGGGGAAUUUUGCGCAAUGGGCUAACGCCUGACGCAGCAACGCCGCGUGGAGGAUGAAGGUCUUUGGAUUGUAAACUCCUGUCAGCAGGGAAAAAGCGACUCGGUUAAUACACCGGGGGUUGAUUGUACCUGCAGAGGAAGCCCCGGCUAACUCUGUGCCAGCCGCCGCAGUAAU